rnacentral:rRNA from 1 species
GACGAACGCCGGCGGCGUGCUUAACACAUGCAAGUCGAACGGUGAAGCGCCUUCCUUUUUGGUGGGUGUGGAUGAGUGGCGAACGGGUGAGUAACACGUGAGUAACCUGCCCCCUUCUUCUGGAUAACCGCAUGAAAGUGUGGCUAAUACGGGAUAUUCUGGGUCUGUCGCAUGAUGGGUCUGGGAAAGAUAUUGUUUCGGUGGGGAUGGGCUCGCGGCCUAUCAGCUUGUUGGUGGGGUGAUGGCCUACCAAGGCGGUGACGGGUAGCCGGCCUGAGAGGGUGGACGGUCACACUGGGACUGAGACACGGCCCAGACUCCUACGGGAGGCAGCAGUGGGGAAUAUUGCACAAUGGGCGCAAGCCUGAUGCAGCGACGCCGCGUGAGGGAUGGAGGCCUGCGGGUUGUGAACCUCUUUCGCCAGUGAAGCAGGCCUGCCUCGUUUGUGGGUGGGUUGACGGUAGCUGGAGAAGAAGCGCCGGCUAACUACGUG